rnacentral:rRNA from 1 species
UGUAGCAGGCUUUGGGGAGAGAAGCAUGCGAGUUGUAUGGGAUACCUAAAUUUCCCAUGGCAAACUGCUUAGUCAUACACAUGAUCAACUUACCCUAUGGAGAAAUAUAACCUCGGGAAACUGAGGAUAAUGUUUCAUAGUUGAAUAGGCUUGGAAAAGUUUUUCAAUGAAAGGGAUAAGAAAAAUGGUUCUUAUCUGCCAUAGGAUAGGAUCGUGCUCGAUUAUGGUUGUUGGUGAGGUAACGGCUCACCAAGCCGAUAAUCGAUAGGGGCCGUGAGAGCGGGAGCCCCAAGAUGGGUACUGAGACAGCGACCCAGGCCUUACGAGGCGCAGCAGGUACGAAACCUCCGCAAUACACGAAAGUGUGACGGGGUUACCCAAAGUGUUCUUAUUGAACUGUGGCAGGUGAGUAAUGUCCCCUGCUAGAAAGGAGAGGGCAAGGCUGGUGCCAGCCGCCGCGGUAAAACCAGCUCUUCAAGUGGUCGGGAUAAUUAUUGGGCUUAAAGUGUCCGUAGCCGGUUUAGUAAGUUCCUGGUAAAAUCGGGUAGCUUAACUAUCUGUAUGCUAGGAAUACUGCUAUACUAGAGGGCGGGAGAGGUCUGAGGUACUACAGGGGUAGGGGUGAAAUCUUAUAAUCCUUGUAGGACCACCAGUGGCGAAGGCGUCAGACUGGAACGCGCCUGACGGUGAGGGACGAAAGCCAGGGGAGCGAACCGGAUUAGAUACCCGGGUAGUCCUGGGCCGUAAACGAUG